GGUGCUGGGGGGGUGGGGGGCGCUGGCCUGUCCUGAUCCGUGAAGGUGUGAGCCUGAUCUGCUGGCUUCGCUUGCAGGGGGACAGGGGAACUGGCUAGUGUCCUGGUAUCAGGUGGAGGGUGUGUCACUGUGGGCAGUGGGUGCCUCUGCCUUUGGCACCGGCUCCAUCUUUGUUGUUUUUCUCUUUGGGGGUCUGAUCAAGGCAGCUGGAGACUCAGGGAGCCUUUCCACAGCCAAGUGUUUUCAUUUUUGUCUUGGCUGGGCUCCUGGUGCUGUCACUCUCAGUGGCCGCGGGCAGGCUGGUGUUUCAGGAAUGUUCUGCGUACCCCGCAGGUCUUCUCCAAGAGCCACCUAAGGGGAGAGUUGAGGGCAUUCCCCAAACUGGCACCCACCCUGCUGCUGACCCACAAGCCAGAGGCAAAUUCCCGCACCUCGCCCUUCUCACAGCUUGUGCAGUCCACCUAAAGCCCAGAAGCUCCCCAGGCGUCCCCGCUUUAAGACAGUGUAAAGAAAAACAGGUGCCCACUGGUCUAGUCACAUCCCCUAUAAAACGGUUGGAGUCUCUGUUUUUUGUGGGGAAACAGCAGAGGGGGGUUGGACUAAUUAGUUUCCUCCCAGGAAUCUGAUUAAGGGAAGGUUAAGCAGUGUGGGAAAGAAAAGGGAACCACUAUGAAGAAAUGUCACCAAGGAGAGGGUUUGAAAGUUAAUGGCAGCCCGGGGGCGGAGGAGCGUCCUGACCCAGGCAGUGUUCCAGUAGGGGCUGGCGGCCACCUUGGGGAGGAACGUGCACAGAGGUAACUAAUCAACUCGGCAGAGGUUGGAGUAAAAAACCUAGAAGGUUGGCAUUGACUCUGAAAUUGUUGCAAAGCUGAGAUCCAGGCGAGAGGGCAGCUUUUCCUCCCGUCUCUACUGUCAUUAUUAGCCAGACACAAGAUUUUGACUCUUAUAAAUGCCUCUCUACUCCUUUCUUAAAAACACCUUUUUAAAUAUGGUAAAAUACACAUAACAUAAAAGUUGUCAUUUUAACCGCUUUUAAGUGUACGGUUCAGUGGCAUUAAGCACAUUCAUGUUGCUGUGCAAUCAGCACCAUCUAUCUCCGGAAUGUUUUCAUCUUCCCAAGCUGAAACUCCAUACUCGUUAAUUACUCCCCGAUCUCCCCUUCUCACCCCCCUUACUUUCGUUUCCAUGAGUUUGACCAUUCUAGGCACCUCGUGUAAGUGGAAUCAUACAGUAUUUAUCCUUUUGCAACUGGCUCAUCUCACAGCGGCUUCAGGGCUCGUGCAUGUGGUAGUCUUUGCCAGAAUUUCCUUCCUUCUGAAGACGGAAGAGUAUUUCAUUAUGUGUCUAUAGCACAUUUUGUUUAUCCACUUGUCUGUUAUUGGACAUUUAGAUUGUUCCCGCUUUUUGGCUAUUGUGAAUCAUGCUCCCGGGAACAUAGGUGUACAAAUAUCUGUUUGAGUCCCUGCUUUUAAUGAUUUUGAGUAUAUACCCAGAAUUGGAAUAGCUCGAUUACAUGGUAAUUCUAUGUUUAAUUUUUUGAGGCGCUGCCGUGCUGUUUUCCACAGCAGCUGCACCAUUUUACACUCCCACCAGCAACACACCAGGGUUCAGGGCCUCUCCUCUUAAUGAGCCCCCUUUUUUCAGUACCCUAGCACUCAGAGGAAGUCUGAUAAGAGACGCCCCAUUGUAUUUGCCUCUGCCUGCACCACCAAAAGAGAGACAGAAGGGCAGUCAGCUCCAUCUGGCCUCAAAUGCCAGGAAGCUGGAAGGUGAAUAACCCUGGAAGAUGCCAAUUCCUGUUAGUAGUAGCAUUACACAUUUUAAAGGAAGGGCCCAGUCACCAUCACAAACGUAGAAGAGAAGAGACGUGGGUCUUCUUUAUUUCCGUUCUAAGAAGCACCCGUGGCUCUUUAAGGCAAAGUUUGUUAAUUUCAUAUGUCUCUUUCAGUGCAGGUAUCAGUAUUUGUGCUUUUGUUUUGUUUUGUUUUGUUUCCUCUUACAGGCCCUAACAGAGCCAAACACAUCUUCAGGACCCAACAUUUAUUGAACACUUACUAUGCACCAGGCAUUGUAGAAGUCCUUUAAGUUCAUCUCCUCCUGAAUCCUCUUUAACAUUUGGAAGGCGUGUGUCCCAAGAGUCACUGGAAUCAAAAAUACCUCUGUGGCCUAACCUCCCUCCCCCAUAAAAUGCAGUAGAGUAUGACCAAAGAUUCAAGUGAGCACCGAAGACCCUUAAUGAGAGUUUCUGAGAAUGCAACAAUAGGAGGACAAUAAACAUCCAUGUAGAUUUGGAGGCUGAACUUUUGAACUCUGUCUGACCUUAGGCUGUGUGCCUUUUAUUUUCCUGCUUAAUGAAUCUUCACUGAUUAUCUUGCUUCUGCAAUGACUCAAGGUUAUGUCAAUUAGCUGUUUCCUAGCCUGAGUCUUCUGCCUAAUUGUCAACUCAAUUUAAGACAAAGAUCUAAGCAGUGAGUUUAUUCUUAUUCCUCUCUGGAGUCGCCAAGGGGUUAUGGAGCUGCCUUCCCGGACCCAGAAGGGAAAAGCAUUUCUCUCUGCUUUCUGGACAGGUAGGUCCAUCUCUGGCACCCUUGAUUUGGUAGAUGUGGUUCGUAUUCACUCUUCCUCCCUGGCUCUGAUCUUUACCCUCUGUCUUUGCCUGGGUCUCCCAAGGGCACGUAAAAUCUGUCUUCCUAAGCAUCCUGGCAUCUCCUAUGUCCGUGGUCAUCAGGGGCAUCCUGGCCUCCCAAGCCUUCAACCUUGGAGUCACCUUUGACUGCUUCCUCUCUUGGACUGUUCCUUUCAGAAUGGGCUCACAAUUCUAUCUCUGGGAUCUGACCUUCUCCAGCCGAUGACACAGCCAAGCCUCCCGCGGAGUCCAGGCUCCGAUCUCCUCACACGCUGAUUUUUGGAGCAGCCUCCUUCCUGGAGAGUGUUUUCACCUGCAGCCUCACCCCUCCUGGUACAUUCUAUAACCAACAGCUAGGCUAAUUUUCUCCGAGUGCUAUUUUGAUUUUGUCACUCGUCCAUUCGGAAAUCGGCAGGAGCUCCCAUUUGCCUCCUACCUUUAAUCUAAACUCCUCAGCAUGUGUUUGAAGACCUUUGUAAACUUACAUUUAACUACCCUCAUCUUCUGCAAACUUCUGGCUUCUCAUCUUAGCUCAUAGCACAUAGGUUGCUAGCUUUGGGGCACAGCUCUCCCCUUACCGCUAUGAGUCAUGUCUAUCCCUAUUAAGACACAACAAAGAUAUUAUGAGCAGGUACCUCGCCAGUUUUGUUUGACAUUACAUCCCUAUGUCUUGGCUUGCCACGUAAUAGGUGCUCAAUAAAUAUUCGUUGAAUGAAUGAAUGUUAAAGACACAUCUCUUUGAAUAACACUCCUUGCAUUAAUCAACACACAAUGAAAGACUUUGAGCUAAGUGUUUAGGCCACAAAAUGAAUAAGCUUCUUCUCAAGGAGCUUGUAUUUUAGACCUAGAAACAUAUGCCACUGGGGAGGCUGAGGCAGGAGAAUUACUUGAACCCGGGAGGUGGAAGUUGGAGUGAGCUGAGAUUGCACCACUGUACUCCAGCCUGGGAGACAGAGCGAGACUCUGUCUCAAAAAA